GCGUGUGACCAUGUCGCCCUGGUCGCACCCGAUCACAUCGCAGCUUUUGAUAGCGAAGCAGCGUCGAGUCUGGUUGGUACGUGGAUGGGGGACUGCCUGGGAAUGUCAGGUGUAUUCU
rnacentral:rRNA from 1 species